CGAACGAACGGACGAACGGACGCACAGACCAGAAAACAUAAUGCCCCUCUACUAUCGUAGGUGGGGCAUAAAAACAUACACUAAGUCCUUUAUAGAACCACUAAAAACAUACAAUCAGGUUUUUUGGUCCCUUAGUGUGUUGUAAUGAUAUUUGAUUAAACUUUAAAACAAAUUUGACAUAUAAGAAAUAGUUUACAUGAUGAUCUUAUCAAAACUGUGUUAAAAACCACACACACACACACAAAUACUCAUUAAAUCAUAAUCUAAGCACCAUAAAUUUUCAUUAUAUUUAAUUUCAUUCAGUUUUGCAUAGAUGUUAGUAAUACUGUUAAAUCUGUAAUUGUCUGUUUUCAUAUAUAUAUAUAUAAACUGAAAUGCUGUACAUGUUUUUAAAUUAAAAAAAAUAUAGAUGAGAUGUUAAACUUUGUUCAUGCCAAGCAUAUGUUGUGUGAGGAUAUGCAUUGUUUUCAUUCCUAGAGCUUGUGCUAAUUAGAAAUUAAGGUGAGAGUGCAAGCUACAUUUUGACGCAUGUUCACUCCAGACAUGUAGAUACAAGCUAGCGUGAAGAUAAAGACAGGAAACAAUUGGGCAUCACAUAUGAUAAUGUUUUUCAAAGGAAAGUGUGUUAUACAGACUUUAUCUAUAAGCCAACUAUUCAAGACCAUCAUGGGUAGUCAAAGUUGCAAACAAAAACAUGCUGUUGUCCUUAUCCAUCAUUAUUUGUCAAUUAGAUCUGCACUUUCAAUUAAAAGUAUCUGUUUUGAAGCUGAGGUAAUGUAAAACUCAUAAAAAAGAAGGUAGUUCAAUACAAAAACAACAUUUUUAUGCCCCACCUACGAUAGUAGAGGGGCAUUAUGUUUUCUGGUCUGUGCGUCCGUUCGUCCGUCCGUCCGUCUGUUCGUUCGUUCGUUCGUUCGUCUGUUCGUUCGUCCGUCUGUCCCGCUUCAGGUUAAAGUUUUUGGUCAAGGUAGUUUUUGAUGAAGUUGAGUCCAAUCAACUUGAAACUUAGUACACAUGUUCCUUAUGAUAUGAUCUUUCUAAUUUUAAAGCCAAAUUAAACUUUUGACCCCAAUUUCACGGUCCACUGAACAUAGAAAAUGAAAGUGCAUGUUUCAGGUUAAAGUUUUUGGUCAAGGUAGUUUUUGAUGAAGUUGAAGUCCAAUCAACUUGAAACUUAGUACACAUGUUCCUUAUGAUAUGAUCUUUCUAAUUUUUAA
rnacentral:lncRNA from 1 species